UUUUUUUUGUCCAGACAAAUAAGAUUAAAAAAGAAAGAUGAUCUAAGCUGGAGGGUCUACGUCAGUAAGCAUAGAGAUUUGUAGUUGAAAUUAAAUUUAUAGAAUUAUUUUGGACCUGUAAACAACUACUGAUGAAUUUUGAGACUGGUUUGGUAUUAUCUUUUGGAUUUAGUCACUCUGAACCAAUAUUGAUUUAUUUACUUGAUGAAU
rnacentral:lncRNA from 1 species